GGCGUGGGGAACCUGUCACCCUGCAGAUGUUGCUGAACUACAACUCCCAUCAGCCUCUGCAAACAUGGCUAAUGCCCAAAGGUGAUGGGAGUUGUAGUUCAGCAACAUCCGGGGGGGGGGGAGGUUCCCCACACC